ACCCCAAAAUUUACCCUCAUAUAUUUACAAACGCCAUUUUAUUUCGAAUAAAUGAAUCGACACACUGGGUAAGAAUUUGAGCGUGAAAGGUACAAUAGCGCGAGGUCCCGUGUUCGAGUCCCACUACUAACAGUUUAUUUUAUUUUAUUUGUUACCAACUUAAUUUCUGUUUUAAAUUACUUUUUUUGAAAAAAUCACAAAAAAAAAUUGUUUUAUAUUAUUUACAAUUUAUUUUCAUAGAUUUUUCACUUUUUCCAUAAAAAAGGGAAGAUUUUAAAAUUCUACACCUUUUUUACAUUUUAGGUUAGUUUUUUUAAUUAGUUAAAUAUAAUAAUAAAACUCAAUUAAGUAAUUCUAUUUUUUUUUGUUGGGCUUUAGGUUAUUUUUAAUUUAUUUUGGUCCACUAGAUCUUAACCUAAUUUUGUAUCCUAUAAAAAGGAACUAACUUUAACCUUUUUUUUAAGAGAAAAAACGCUGAACAAAUCCUAACCUACAUUCCACCUCCCUCACGGUAUAAACAAUUUUUCAACUCUACCUUUCAAAACCUCAUUCACGUGUAAAUUCACAAACUACAGAUCUCCACCACAUGCUAACACUAUACAUACUACUGUACACCAAAGCCUUCUAAUCGUUCAUCAUCAUCUUACUAUAACACCGCAAACGGUUCGCCGGAAGUCGCAACCAUCACCGAUCUCCGAUAACAGCCACUACAAAGCACGCCGAUUCAGCACCAGCCAACGGUUUCAACAGCAAAGUCUUCACGCAUCACCUAUUCAGAACCAACAACAGUGUCGCUAUAAUUUCUUGUUCAGAGUUUGUUUUUUUUUCUUUACGUUUUUUUGUUGUUCGUUUUUUUGCAGAUUCGUUUUGAAGUGGGAAGAACAAUCCUAAGAAGUGGCAGCCGUGGGAAACAAAACCUUGAACCCACGUUCAUCCACAUCCGAUUCAACACCGUGAUUUCGAACUCGAAGCUUCAAAAUAUUCAAUUCCACAACAACUGUCAAGCGGAUCAGAAAACUUACGAGUCUGCGUCACUGGUUCAAGCCCUCCGUUCAUCUUCGAAUUCACGUUGCACUUUAGAUUCAGGGUUACCAUCAGGGUUCCUUCGAUCACGCGCCAUGCUAAUCAAGAAGCUAAGUUCUAAACCUUUUCCCCUUUAAAUUUUAUUUUAAUUUUUGUCUUAUAGGUUAAAUUAAGGUUUAUUUUCAAUGUCAAAGAAUUCCACAUACACUCACUUUUAUUUAUUUCCCUCUUAAUUUUCAGAGUCUAUCGAGGUUCGAGGAAGAUCAAGGCACUCAAGGAUGUUUUUACUAAUUAUUGUUCUCUCUUAUUUUCUGUCUUAUUUCCCCAUUCCCCGCAGGUGUUUAUUGUAAUAGCGUAGGACAUCUAUCUUUCCGCCUUUAAUUUCCGCAUGAUUUUAACUGCGUGGUUAGUAACCCUAGGGAGUGCAAGAUCAUCAAUCAAACGUUAGAACACUAACAAUACAAAAUUAAAUAUUCAAACUUAAUCACGUGAUUGUUGCACCCACUCACCUUUAGGGUAACCCUUCUCGUUGCCUUUGUUGCCGGUUGCCUUAAAUUGUUGCCUGUUGCCUCUAAAUGUACUAAAUAGUCUAGUCCCUCGAUUCCGAGGAUACCUAAAGCAAUGUUGCCCGUCGCCUUCAAAGUUAUUGAAACUCCCUCGAUGUUGCCUUAUAAAAGUAUUGUCCCCAAAUUGCUAAGGUAUCCUCGCAUGAUGCCUUAAAUGACUAUUACAUCCUUCCCUUAGACUACCUGCCCUCUUUAUGGCAAGGGACAGUCUUAUGGCGAACGAUCUCUCGAUGACCCUUCAACAUCCAAUUGAAAGACUUCCUGCCUUCUCAUGGUAUGGAUAGACCCUUUUGCCCGAAAGACUUAAAUAACAAGAAAGACAAUGUAGGGUAGGUAGCUAUUAAUUGCUUGCUCACAUUCAAAUCAAAUUCAAACUACUUUUCGCACCUCCUUUUCAAAACAAUUUCAAAACAAGGCUACGCUUAUUUACAAGCUAAAGUCUUUAACGAAAUCUUUUUACUAUUCACACACGACACUUCAAACUUUUCGAACAAUUCAAAAGUGAGCUAAGCAAUUAAGAGCCCAUGGAUAACCAUGGAUGCAAAGGGUGCCUUACACCUUCCCUUUGUAUAACUUACCCCCCGAACUCAAAAUCUUUCAAAAGGUCUUUCCUGUUCUUUUAGCCUUUCCUAAUUGGAUAAAAUAAAAGUCGGUGGCGACUCUUGCUUACCGUACAUUCCGAUUAAUAAAAA